rnacentral:tRNA from 1 species
GGAAGUAGCUCAGCUUGGUAGAGCACAUGGUUUGGGACCAUGGGGUCGCAGGUUCGAAUCCUGUCUUCC